AGCCGGGGAGCUUGCGGUGCAGGCUGAGAGUGGGCGACGCCCAGACCCGAUAGACCUGAUUUGGAUAAUGCCAACGGAGGGAGAUC
rnacentral:ncRNA from 1 species